GAAUUCGCCCUUGUGCCAGCAGCCGCGGUAAUACGUAGGGUGCGAGCGUUGUCCGGAAUUACUGGGCGUAAAGAGCUCGUGGUUGGUUUGUCGCGUUGUUCGUGAAAACUCACAGCUUAACUGUGGGCGUGCGGGCGAUACGGGCAGACUAGAGUACUGCAGGGGAGACUGGAAUUCCUGGUGUAGCGGUGGAAUGCGCAGAUAUCAGGAGGAACACCGGUGGCGAAGGCGGGUCUCUGGGCAGUAACUGACGCUGAGGAGCGAAAGCGUGGGGAGCGAACAGGAUUAGAUACCCUGGUAGUCCACGCCGUAAACGGUGGGUACUAGGUGUGGGUUCCUUCCUUGGGAUCCGUGCCGUAGCUAACGCAUUAAGUACCCCGCCUGGGGAGUACGGCCGCAAGGCUAAAACUCAAAGGAAUUGACGGGGGCCCGCACAAGCGGCGGAGCAUGUGGAGUAAUUCGAUGCAACGCGAAGAACCUUACCUGGGUUUGACAUGCACAGGACGCCGGCAGAGAUGUCGGUUCCCUUGUGGCCUGU
rnacentral:rRNA from 1 species